rnacentral:piRNA from 1 species
GGGUCUCAAUGUUUUAAGAGCAUAUGUUCUU